AUUGAACGCUGGCGGCAGGCCUAACACAUGCAAGUCGAGCGGAUGAAGGGAGCUUGCUCCUGGAUUCAGCGGCGGACGGGUGAGUAAUGCCUAGGAAUCUGCCUGGUAGUGGGGGAUAACGUCCGGAAACGGGCGCUAAUACCGCAUACGUCCUGAGGGAGAAAGUGGGGGAUCUUCGGACCUCACGCUAUCAGAUGAGCCUAGGUCGGAUUAGCUAGUUGGUGGGGUAAAGGCCUACCAAGGCGACGAUCCGUAACUGGUCUGAGAGGAUGAUCAGUCACCCUGGAACUGAGACACGGUCCAGACUCCUACGGGAGGCAGCAGUGGGGAAUAUUGGACAAUGGGCGAAAGCCUGAUCCAGCCAUGCCGCGUGUGUGAAGAAGGUCUUCGGAUGGUAAAGCACUUUAAGUUGGGAGGAAGGGCAGUAAGUUAAUACCUUGCUGUUUUGACGUUACCAACAGAAUAAGCACCGGCUAACUUCGU
rnacentral:rRNA from 1 species